UCACUUGUUUUAAGAUUUUCCACAGGCCAAACUGCACCAGCUUUUUCAUGUUAUCUUACGGUGGACUUCUCAACUCAUUUCAUACCAGAUUUGGCAAAAACACUCUCAGUUCAGCUGCUGUCUUCAAAUUGGAAUGCUGUGACAAGACACCCUGUUGCUUUUUCUGGUUUCUCCUGCACAGAGGCUGCUGUCCUGUGGGUCUUGUGAUUGUUGAUGGUUAUUGGUUUGCCUUUUCAUCCACAGCAGAGCUCAAAAUGAGCACAGCUUCCCCACAGAGCGAGUGCUAUGAGCAAUGUAGCAGUUCAUCUGCUUCAAGGUCUUCUUCCCACUACCAGAGACUACUGUGAUACAAUGACUAGAACACAGACAGAAUAUCAGCAUUUGAGAGGUGGGGUUCCAAUGUUAAGAAGAGGGCAUCUGAAAUGGAGGCUAAGUUGUGAUUUGGCUGCAAACAAUAAGAAAAAUCUGAGGAUCCUUUGUGUUGUGAAAAGCAGAGGAAUCUUGACUUUGUGGAGUGAAGACUUAAAGAAAUUAUCAAGAUGAUCUUCAUUUUCUCCUCAGUUUGACUGAACUUUAGACAGUUUUUCCUGAACACAGACUCUUUUCAUCUCUUUUCCAAGUGUAUUUUCACCAGAUAAAGCUUUUUAUAGUUCCCCGAGGACAGUCAUCAUCUUUGCUGUCUAGAUCACAAAGAUUGAAUUUUCUGAGAACAUCAGAAGACUGCCCUUGCCAUCUACACUGUAGCAAAACCUCAAGACCUUGAACCUUAGGUUCAUAAUCUCACAACUGAAAAGGUUCCUCUGCACUCUUGGAACUAUACACCUAUUGGUGUACAUCAUUUUAAAGUGAAACUAACCAGGGAAGUUUCUCCCCAGAAGAUGAUGGCAUCCUUGAUGUGAAAAGCAUUUUCCAAGAUCAAGGAUCAAGACUUCUCAACAAUCAUGAGACAUUUAUCUUGAAUAUUUUCCCCUUGUUUAUGACUCUAUGAACAAAAGAAGUGAAAAGGUGGUCUGUUGUGUGCACUUAUGGGGUACAUUUUUAUUUGUAAAGGAUUUUGCAGCCAGCCUUAUACAUGGAUAUCUUAAUUCCUUGAUAGAUGAAAGAGGAAGGUCCAAUGUAGGUGAGAAACUUCAAUGGUGCAUACAUUGCCUUAAAAUCAGUUAGAAACAGAACAUUUAUUCACUCCUUUUUUAGGUCCUUUUGUUAGGUCCUUUUUUAAUGGGUUGGAGUAAAAGAAGCAAUGAUUAGAAAUGUAUCCUUCAUGAUAGGCUUUAUAGCAGAUUCUACUGUAAAGGCUACGGUUAUAUAACAGACUUUAAAUUCUCUUGUGAAAGCUCUGCUAAAUAACAGAAUUACUCUAGAUUACUUACUGGCUAAACAAAUCUGUGUGAUACUUGUGGCCUAUGAAAAAUAUCUCAAAUGUAAAUUAUAGAUUUAUUUGUAGGUGAUUAAUAAAGAGACUACUUAGUUAAGUAAGUCUUAAAGACUCCCUUAGAGUCUUUAAGCUAGACAAAGAGCUUCAUCUUUGGCUGGGUGUGGUGGCUCAUGCCUGUAAUCCCAGCGCUUUGGUAGGCCAAGGUGGGUGGGUCUCGAGGUCAGGAUAUCAAGAGCAUCCUGCCAACAUGAUGAAACCCCAUCUCACUCUUCUAAAGUACAAAACACAAAAAACACAAAAUACUAAAAUACAAAAAUUACCCAGGUGUCGUGGUGUGUGCACCUGUAAUUCUAGCACUUGGGAGGCUGAGGCAGGGGAAUCACUUGGACUCAGGAGGCAGAGAUUACAGUGAGCUGAGGUCAUGCCAUUACACUCCAACCUGGCAACAGAGCAAGACUGUCAAAAAAAAAAAAAACUUUUUCUAGCUCAUCCUUUGAUCUAUUUGACUUUAGAUGGGUUGGUUUAUGGGGAUUCUGGAUAAGGAGCAUACUUCAAACUCUUGGCAUUAUCCUCCCAAGAGUCAGAAUAGUAGUCUACCUGUGUGCUGCAUUCUGUCAGUUUUAACUAUUUGCUUGCAGUGAUCUUUAGAAUGUCAAGUGGUCUCUCUUCAACCAGAAUGACAAGAGCUGAAGAAAUGUGUGAUCAUGAGGAUGCCAUAAUCUAUGCUGAUAAUGGAAACCCAAAAUGAUGGUAACUGAGAGUGGUGCUAAGGCCCUAAGUUUUGGUCAUACUGUCACCUACCUGCUGAAAAAGGGGGAAUUUUUGCUACAAAAUUGCAGGAGUCCAUUGUUUUUGGACUGAGCUCAUGCACUAGGCUCCAACAGACCAGCACAAACUAAAAUGAGUUGAUCAUGUUAAAUGUGACAUAAUGAAAUGAAUACUUUAAGGUAAAACAUAAGUCCUAGGACAGACAAGAAUUUACUUUCCUCCUGUAAACAGGAUACACUAGCAUAAGGAAGUACCCUUUACUCAGUCCUUGUUCCCACCUUGCAAAACCUGCUAUUGUACUGUUUCCCAGUAGUUUUAAGACUAGUGGUGAUAGUGACAUCAGUGACUAAAGUUUUGGUCAAUCUCUCAAAGGUAAAAAAAAUUACCAAAAGGGGGAAAUUGGUAAAUGAAGUUUAACCUAAAGCCACCUUCUUGCAUAACUUAGGUUCAGCCUAAAGGUUUUCUGUACAUCAUGAACUAUAACAAGUGCAAGUGUAAACAGACCAUAGCCUACACUUGUGCCAAUCACUAAGUUUUGACCAAUGAGAAGUACCCAACUGUUCCAACUCUUCAAAUAAGGCAAAUGCCAAGCUGUAACCAACCGAGCUGUUUUUGUACCUCACUCUCAUUUUCUAUAGGUCAUUUUCUUUUCCUGACCAUAAAUCUUCCAUCAUGUGGCUGCACUGGAGUCUCCGAGCCUUCUCUGGCUCAGAUGGCUGCCUGACUCGUUGAUCAUUCAUUGCUCAAUUAAACUCCUUUAAAUUUAAUUAGGCUGAAGUUUUUCUUUUAUUACUAUCAAUACCACACUCUGGAGAUUAAAAACAAGAUAAUAUUAAAAUCCAGAUUUGAUAACAAUUUUAAGUAGAAACUCCUUUUUAAACAGGACGCAUUGUUUAAAGCAGUAUGUUCUUUACUGUGGAUGUUAAGUAACCUUUUCUCUUAAAAAUGUCUCUUGGACAAAUUUAGUAUCUGAUAUAUUUUUUUCUGAGAUUGAGAUACAUUAAUUCAAAAACUUAAUCUAAUGAGAAGUAAACAAAAGAAAUAGCUAGGAAUAGAUGAUGUAUGCUGCAUGUUAAACUAUAAAAACUCAUGUGUAUCACAAUAUGAUCUUUCACUAAGAAAUAAUGAAACUGUGGACAUCAUAUAUGUAUUUAUUUUUUUUUCAGCAGACAAAAAUAAAAUUCCCAAAUAGAAUAAGCUGCUUGGUUUGGGGCAUUGUUGCUAUUUAUGCUGCAAAAUUGCUUCUUCUUAAAAUUGUAAUUGUGAAAUUCCCUAAAUGAUGUAGUAUAUUAUUAACUUUUAUAAUAGUUUUAAAAUAAGGUUCUUCAAUGGUACAACUUCUCUGAAACAAAUCAAUUUGGCCUCUAUAAUAGUCUAUGAAAAGGUUCUAUAUUCUAUAUUGCAAAAAUUCAAAGAUCAGCUGCUAACAUAAAUGAGUUCUGUAAAUCAUUCAGAAAACUUUUGCUAGUAAGAUUAACAGAGGACUGGAAAUACGCCCAUUUCGGGAUAUACAAAGAUUAGACCAAACUCUCAGUCUCAGGAAGGUGACAGUAAAACUCUGCUCAUAGUUAGAAGUUUAAAGACUACUAAUCCUGAUAUGUGAGGUGUCAUCCUAGUGAAUAAAAAGUUCCAGACUGAAUAGGACAAAGCCCAAUAAAUAACUUAGCACUUCACAUGAAGGGGCAUCAGAUGUUAGCAAAAUUAUUGAUCUUUACAGAGUUGGGUGGGUAAAGACAAACAGAAUACCUCGAGGGAAGUGACUGUGUUACGUUUUAAGGAAAGAGAGAAAAGAAUGUGUCAUAGAUAGAAAAAGGCAUAUGUAUAUAUUGCACUGUGCAUGAAAGAGAAGCUUGGAUGUGUUGCGGGAUCAUGUGUUUUAACAAGACAAGUUGGGUGAGCUUGUCUGUGAAGAUGUCUGUGCACAUCAAAUAGGAAGACUAGAAGCAUCAAUGGCCACAAUUUCAAUAAAAUAAUAAAAAUCACCAGAUCAUUAGCUGAGUUUGCCUGCUGGCUACAGAGUAGGUAGCUUCUAUUUCAUUGGAACUGAUUUAGGGAAAUCAAAGGUUUUCAAGUACUACUGUUGUACUUAAAUGUGUGCCCUUAUAAGUUUCCUUUAUAAGCACCCAUGCAAAUUACAAACAAAAGCUAUUCAAUGAGUAUUCUAAGGUAUCCAGAAUUUAAAAAAAUGUAUUCUACAAUUAAUAGAAAGUAAAUGGCACAGAUGAAUAGCCCAUCAAUCUUGGAACUUACUCCAAAUAAUGUGUAAAUUUGAAACUAUUAAAAUGCAUGAGUUAGAAGCAGAUUGUAUUUAUACAAAUAAAGAAGAUUCUGGAAAUUCAAUUAAGUUCCCUUUAAAAAAUAAAUAUAUAUUUUUCAAACUGUAACUACAAUAAAAUUCUGGUUAAUAGGAUGAACUAACCUGAUGUAGAAGGACAAGCCUACCCAUCACAUAUAUAUACACCCCCCCACCAUGUACAUAUAUGACAGGCAUAAUGUAAUCCUUUUAAAUUCUACAGUUGCCUUUUCAAAUAAAAAAAAGAUGAACCAUUUUUAGAAACUGAAAAAAAGGAAAGUAUAAGAAUAUUUGGUGAAGUGAGCCAAAGCAGAAAACAUACAAGGCUAUAAGAACCAAUAAAAACUCUUAGAGAUAGAGGUUUUAAUGAUCAAACAGAAAGAAAGAAUAAUGCCUUGUACAAUAUUGGAAACAGAUACAAUCCCUGGAUAAGUUAGGGUUCUACUGAUUAUCUCAUCUAGGAAGAGCAACCAGAGCAACUGUGCCUACAGGCGUUGGGAAGCUGCAGAAGGGUAGCUAUCUAAGCAGGGCUGGCAAGGAAGAAAUGCCAUCAAGGAGGUAUCUGAACCUCAAGCUUGACUCAUUUUGCUGAAGGGCCUAACUAAUACAAUGCUAGCCCUGCAGUCCUGAAACACUGAGCCAAGAAAUUGACAUAAAGCUGAUUCUGAACAGUUGAAACUCAGAGGGCUCUCACAAAAGCAGCUUGAAAUACAGCCUAGGUUUGGGGAAUGCUUAUAGAAAAUAAUUCUCACUGAAAAUGAAUUUACAAUCAGAAGUUAUAAAAUACAUAAGAUUAAAACUAGAGAACUGACAUGCCAUGAGCAUGAAACAAGAGGAAAAUAUGAAGUAAUUUCUUGAAAAUUCAGUGAGAUUUAAAAUCAUUCUGGCAAGCUGGUACACUCAGUGUCUGGAUAAACUAUUCCUGGACAGAACAUCUAACAAUCUGGAUAGUGUAUUUGACAUGUCUUUUUAAAUGUAUAAUUGAACUGAUAGGAGGAAGUAAGACAGAAACUUCAAGGUCAAGAAAUUAUGACAAAUGUAACCUGAAAGGUUGAGAAAGGCCUGAAACUGACAUUCACCCUGACUCAUCUGCUCAUCCAUGGUAAUGAGGAGUUUUCAUAUUAAAUAACUAAAUCACAUCAUUUAAGUACAAGAAGAGUGACUUUUUGAUGUCACAAUAAAUAUUAUAUAAUAAAAGAAAAGACAAACCUCUUAAUAAUUUUACCUUGGUGAAGAAGCAUCAGAGUUUGAUCCUGUUGAGGGAGAUUUUACAGAUUUGAGAUUCAGUUCUGCCACUUAAAAAUAGUCAAAGCAUAACAUAAUUUAAGUGUAUGGUUUAAGGAAAUGCUUACAUCUCUAAACCUAAUACUCACAUUAAUAGUAUUUUAGAGCACACCAAGAUGGCUGUUACAUAUAUACCCACUAUUCAAUAACCAACCAGGAAAACUGUUCUCAUGACUUGUAUCAUCCUAUAUUUACAUUUCCUGUUAUUUUACUUUGUAAAAAUAAAAUCUUUUUUAUCUGACUUCAAUUAACACAAUGUUUGUGAGAUGCAUCAUUAGGUGUGGCAGUGCUUUGCUCUUUUGCUCUGUAAUAUUUCACUAUAUGAUUACACCACAAUUUGUUUGUACUAUCCGCUCCUUAAGUAUAUUUGGGUUGCUGCCACUUUUUGACAAUUAAAAACAGGGCUGCUAUAAAAAUUCUUGCACAUGUAGCUCAGUGAAUGAGUGUGCACAUUUUAUUAGUUAUAUGCCUAAGAAUUAAAUGGACAUGUCAUAGGGUAUAAUAUAUUAAGCUUUAGCAGACACUGAUAAAUAAUAUUUCAAAAUCAUUUCUUCUCAUCAGCAGUGUAUGGAGUUCCAGUUUCUCCACACCUUGGCCAAUAUUUGAUAAUGUAAGGCUCUUUAAUUUUACCGUUCUAGUGGGUAUGAAGUGCAUUGUGGUUUUAACUUUUCCUAAUGAAGGAUAUAGUACAACACAUUUCAAAUUCUUAUUGACCAUUUGUAUAUUCUCUUUUGGGAACAACCUUAUUAAAAUGUUUUAACUGGUUUUUCUUUUUUCCUCCUUAGUGUCUGAUUUAUUGAUUGCAUUGUAGAAGGAAAUUACAUAUUUUGGAUACAAAUUUUUUUGGUUACAUGUAUAAAUUUUCUUCCACUCAUGAAUGGCAUUUUUACAUUCUUCAUGGAAUAUUUUGAUAAACAGAAGUAUUUUAUUCUAAUGAAGUUCAUACUUAUUAAUAUUUUCUUUAUAGUUAGGGCUUUCUUUGCCUAUUUAAGAAAAAGUUUAUGGUGUAACAAGAUAAAAGCUGAAUACGUUACAAAAACUACGAUGCUUUAUUUUUUAAACCCAUCAGAGAACUUACAAUGAAUAGAAAUCUAGAUGAAUUAUAUUUCAAUGAGGCAGGAGCCUGUCCUUGGAGAGAAGAAACCACAGUUGCUUUUAUUUUUCCACAUACAGUUAAAAGAGAGUGAACCUGUCAUAGAGUAGCUUAAGAGAAACCCAGAAUAACUUUUAAAGAUUUGUAAUGGCUGUGUAUGCUCUGGCGUAACUAAUAGUUUUUCAAUGAAUCUCAGUAUCUGCCUUUCCUCCGGUUGUUUCACACAAAGCCUUAGCUGAGUGCAUUUUAGUAGUGCAUUUUAUAAUGUGAAAAGAACAAUGUGACUGACAGAGUACUCCUCAGAAGCAUGGGACCUUCAGUUACUCAGCCGACUAAAAACAGAACAUAGGAAAUGAAAAAGUAUUCUCUCAGGUACACAAGGUUAGUUAGUACAUGGAAGUAGUGACCUCAAGAUUGCAGGCAGGGCAAGAGGGUUGGAGAAAAUCCUCUAGAUAACAGAGCCUUCACUGAGCAUGUUGUCACCACACUGUUGCUGAAGGACAGGAGCAGGUAAAAGGGUUAUGAAAGAUUCCCUAGAGGCACAGAAGAGUUUCACCAAAUGCAUACAAAUGCAUGGAGGCUGAUAGGAGGGUAGGGCAGUGAAGAGAAAGUUCUACAUUGCACGGCAGAUCUUUAUUUAGUUCAAAGUAGCGGCUCUCUGUGGGCUAGGAUUAAUGCAGUAGGGUGGAGAAAGACCCCUCAAAGGUGAAAAGCCAAGGGCAGGGCUGAAAAGAAAAGAGAACUUCAUAGUCAUUUGGAAGUCUGGAUAUCAGACUAUAAGGCAGAAGUAGAUCUCCCACAGUUCAGAAAUUUACCUAUUGAACUGUAAAGCAAAGAGAUUUCUGGAGUGUGACCAAGACUCAGAUCCCAAGCAAUUCUGAAAUAAAUAUUCCUAUCUCAAAGGCAAAAAUUUUAAGCAAGUGGUAAAAUGAGGGUCCUGUCAGACAUGCAUGUAACUAAAUCUGCAACAAAGCCUGAAACCAACUUAACCAUAAAUUAUAUUGAUUCUUUCCACCACCCUUAUAGCAGUCUGAUAGCUGAAGAAAUAUUUCCUUUUUAGGGUGCAAACGUUAUUUAUUUUAAUACUUAUAUUUCUUAAACAUGUAAUGUUAAUAUGUGGUAAAAAAUAUAAGAUAUGUAGUAAAGCAAGAGCUAAUGAGCCAUAAGCAAUGGCAGUAAAACAAUGAAUCAUAGCUGAUCCAUGUUUAUCUCAUUUAUUAGAAUUAGAAAACCUAGACUUUAAAAUAACUAUGGUUAAUAUGUUAAAUUGAUCUAGUAGAAAGGUAGACAAAUUGCAUUAACAAAUUGGGAAUUUUAACAGAAAAACAUAAAGUAAGAAAAUAAUCAAAUUAACAUAAGAGAAAAAGAGUAUUAACAAUGAAAAAUGUAUUGUAUGGACUUAACAACAAAUCAAACACAGUGAGAGAACAUGAACACAGGUCAAAAUAAGUUACCAAAACUAAAGGUCAAAGAGAAAAUAUCUAUAUCUAUAUGUAUGUAUGUAUGUAUGUAUGUAUCUAUCCAUCUAUCAUCCAUCUAUCUACAUAAUGUCAAAUGUUCUAGGUAGAUAACAAUAUGAGUUAAUAUCAAAUGUUCUAAUAUAUUUGUAACUGAAUUUCUAGAAAUAGGUAAAGAAUAGGAGGAGUGGGAAGAAAUUUUUGAAGAGAUAUUGGCUGAAAAGUUUUCAGAAUUAAUGACAGAUGGAAAUCGACAGCAUAAGGAGCUUAGUAAACUGCAAGCAAGGUUAAACACAUAAACACACACACACACACACACACACACACACCCCUAAACUCCUCAUUAUAACCAAACAUCUGCAAACUAAAGAUAAGAAAAAAAGGUCUUAAAAGUGGCCAGAGGAAAAUUACAAUUACAUUCAUGUAACAACCACAAUCACAACAUGUGGGGAUUCACUCAGGGUGGUGGCAAAAAUAUUAAGGAAAAAGUAUUACAGACAGAUAUAAAAUAUAUUCUUAAACCCUUUUGGGAAGCCUAAGGGUUUUUUCUAUAGUUCUUGGCUGAAGACAGCCCAAAGUUUCUUUGCAGGAGCCAGACAGAUUAGGGCACAAAUACAAAGGAAUUUGAGUAGCUUACCUAGCUAGCUUUUGUACUCAUGUGGUCUUAAAACUAAACUUUGACCUGGAUGGCCCUGUUGAGGAGGGUAUCGACCAAGGAGAUUACCCUCUACUGGUUGUUUGCUUUGGGCAUGGGAACCUGUCCUUUAAUCUUCAAUCUCUAGUGGUUUGACUCAGGCCUUUGUCAAUUAAACUUUACUAAAUAAAUGCCAGUCUCACUGGCUGGUGGUGGCCUCUAGUCACAACUGUUUACAACACUCUCCAGGGUGACUGUAAGCCACGCUGACACACUCAGUCAAACUGGAGAAGCAUAAUAUCUGUGUGUCAAUGUACUUCAUUUAUCCAUUGCUGAGUCAAGGUCUACAAGACAGACACCCAUAGAUGGUGACCCCAACAGUGAUGCCCAACAUGGGGUGAUCCCAACAACAAAAUAUGACUGACAAUGAAGGCUGGAAGAUAGGUAGCACCUUUAAAGUCACCUUAAAGUCACUCAAGAAAGAAAUUAACUCAGAAUUUUAUACUAAAUUAUCCUAUUAUGAAGGUAAACUAAAAAUAUUUUCAAAAGCAAAGGCUGAAAAAUUUGAGCAAUAGCUUUGAACUUUAAAAUGCAUUAUAAAAAUGAUUUUUCAAGCUUAAGUAAAAAUAUUUAUUUCCUUUAAGACCAUUGACUGUUUAAAGCAAAUAUAAUAAAUGUGUAUUGUGGAAUUAAAUUUAUGAUAAGAGCAAAAAUGUUUGGUGAUGAAAUAAAUAAAAUUACUUAUUUGUGAAUAUUAUUAUAAUAUGAUAUAAUAUAAUAUUUAAUGUUAUUCUGUUAUGUAUUAUUCUAAUGAUAUUCCUGUGCAGUUUUGACGUUAAGCUUGUGAGAUUCUCAUAAAAACAUUGAGACUGUAAGACUUCUUUUUCUUUUAUUGGGAACAGUUUGUAUGAUUGAAAUAUUUUUUUCUUCCUUAAAUAUUUGGAAAAAUGUAUUGUGAGUUUAACUCUGCUAGGAGAUUUAAUUGUGUCAAAGAUUUUA